rnacentral:rRNA from 1 species
GUGGGGAAUCUUGUGCAAUGGGCGAAAGCCUGACGCAGCCAUGCCGCGUGGAUGAUGAAGGUCUUAGGAUUGUAAAAUCCUUUCACCGGUGAAGAUAAUGACUGUAGCCGGAGAAGAAGCCCCGGCUAACUUCGUGCCAGCAGCCGCGGUAAUACGAAGGGGGCUAGCGUUGCUCGGAUUUACUGGGCGUAAAGGGCGCGUAGGCGGACAUUUAAGUCAGGGGUGAAAUCCCGGGGCUCAACCUCGGAACUACCUUUGAUACUGGGUGUCUUGAGUAUGAGAGAGGUGUGUGGAACUCCGAGUGUAGAGGUGAAAUUCGUAGAUAUUCGGAAGAACACCAGUGGCGAAGGCGACACACUGGCUCAUUACUGACGCUGAGGCGCGAAAGCGUGGGGAGCAAACAGGAUUAGAAACCCCAGUAGUCC